AAAACACAAGAUUAGAAUUUUUUGUAUUUUUUUUCAUCGCGACCUGUCAAAAUUUUGUAGUUUUGAGAAUCAAUAUUUUGAAUUUGAAUGCACACCCGAACAAAGCAGCCACAAGAGCAGCAUUUUUCGUCAGCAGCAGAAGCAGCAGCCAUCUAUCUACUUGAUAAGUUUUCAUCAACAACAACCAGAUGCUACAAAUCAGCUCAACUUGACUCAACAUCCUGGAUCUGGCAAUCAGCCAACCAACAUUAAAUCGAUACAACCGUAGCAGUACCAACAACUCCAAAUCCAGCAGCUGCCAACAAUCUCUCAAAAAAGAACCACAGCAAUUACAGCUCAGAACCAACAAAGCAACAAGAGCUUUUUUUACGAAUAAUGGACCCAACGGACACACUUUAUCGGCACAUUCUGUCGUAAAACUUGCCUGCCACUAUUCUUACCAGCGGUUACCUUCCUGAUGUAGAGAAAUCAGAGUCAAACACAAACGUCAUAUUACUGCCUUGGCUCCUACCAGUUGCUUGCAUGAAAAGAUCGCUGCCUCCACAGUGCUCGUAAUUCCAUCCCAGCAGCAGCUAGCAACCACAAUUCCAGUGCUUAUCGCCAGCAACAUCAGAAAAUUAAGAUUUUCCCUAGACCAUGACCAUCAUCCGACAGAUCGGUAGCAACAACGUUCAACUGACGGUAGAACCUGGCCAGCAACCGCAACUAGUGCAAUCGAUCCAAGCCAAUGAGGGCCAAAUGUAGAAGACCAUUGGUCAACCGCAAAAAAAAGAUACAUCAACAGCACCUUCAAACACAGUAGCAGCAGCAUACUGUACUGUACCACGCCGCGCGCAGGAGGACUUUUUUAUUCAGUUGGUGCAGCAAGAUCGAACAGCAACCAUAGCGGAUACACAUCACCGAACACCAGCAACAUAAUGCCAUGGUAACCACCCAGCAGCAGAACACGGCGAUAAUGGGCCAACAGUAAAUACAACAUCAAGAUCCUCGGAAAGGACUUUCUCUUUCGGUAUGUGUUUAACAGUAGCUUCUCUCCUCCAA